AGCAGCCGCGGUAAUUCCAGCUCCAAUAGCGUAUAUUAAAGUUGUUGCAGUUAAAAAGCUCGUAGUUGAAUUUCGGGAUCAUCAGGUUGGUCGUGCCUCUGGUAUGUACUGAUUUCGAUGGUUCCUCCUUCUUGAAGAACCGUAAUGCCAUUAAUUUGGUGUUGCGGGGAAACAGGACUGUUACUUUGAAAAAAUUAGAGUGUUUAAAGCAGGCAAUCGCUUGAAUACAUUAGCAUGGAAUAAUGAAAUAGGACGUUCGAUCCUAUUUUGUUGGUUUCUAGGAUUGACGUAAUGAUUAAUAGGGAUAGUUGGGGGCAUUAGUAUUCAAUUGUCAGAGGUGAAAUUCUUGGAUUUAUUGAAGACUAACUACCGCGAAAGCAUUUGCCAAGGAUGUUUUCAUUAAUCAAGAACGAAAGUUAGGGGAUCGAAGACGAUCAGAUACCGUCGUAGUCUUAACCAUAAACUAUGCCGACUAGGGAUCGGAUGACGUUAAUUUUUAAUGACU
rnacentral:rRNA from 1 species